AUGGGCACCUCCAGCAUCUUCCUCUGCGUGCUGUUCCUCUGUGGGGCACUGGGUCUCACCAUGUCCCCUGCCCGGGGAAGGCUCCGCUGCUACAUCUGUGGCUUCACCAAACCCUGCCACCCUGUUCCCACCGAGUGUCGGGACGAUGAAGCUUGUGGCAUCAGUAUUGGCACUUCAGUGAAAAAGCUGCCUCUCAAGGGCCCAGUGCCCUCUGCCAGGCUAUGCCACCUACUGGCUGCACUCCUACACUCUGUGGCACCACUGCUGCGAGCAGGACCUGUGCAACAUAGCCGCUUCCCCACAGCAGCUCACCAGCCUCCUCGCCUCCCUGCCCCUCUUUGUGGCCAGCUUCGCUGGGAGAGGACACCUCCUCCACUAGCUUCC
rnacentral:misc_RNA from 1 species